rnacentral:misc_RNA from 1 species
GAUGAAGAACGCAGCGAAAUGCGAUAAGUAAUGUGAAUUGCAGAAUUCAGUGAAUCAUCGAAUCUUUGAACGCACAUUGCGCCCCCUGGUAUUCCGGGGGGCAUGCCUGUUCGAGCGUCAUUUCACCACUCAAGCCUCGCUUGGUAUUGGGCAUCGCGGUCCGCCGCGCGCCUCAAAUCGACCGGCUGGGUCUUCUGUCCCCUAAGCGUUGUGGAAACUAUUCGCUAAAGGGUGUUCGGGAGGCUACGCCGUAAAACAACCCCAUUCCUAAGGUUGACCUCGGAUCAGGUAGGGAUACCCGCUGAACUUAAGCAUAUCAAUAAGCGGAGGA